rnacentral:rRNA from 1 species
AAACCGCUCGGAGGUAAACGGGUGGAGCCGUAGCGUCGGCUCGCGGAAUUCAGCCCGGCGCGGUCCGGGGUCGGCUCGGGAUACGUCCCCGAUCUUCCGGACGCGUGCCUCCGAGGCCGGCCCGACCCCAGAUGCACUUUCCGCGGGCAGAGUGUCUCGGUAAGCCGGGGGGCGACCAGGCGGCCCCGGGCAAGUCAGGCGCGGCGCGAAUCUGCCGUCGUCGCACCUUUUUCAGGCCCCGGGAAAGAAGGCUCGCUUGGAAUCUCAAGAUUCUCAACCGGCCGAGGAACUGCGGUCCCGGCGGCUGCGGGCCCGUGCGGCGGUGUCACGACAAAGAGGGACCGGGCAACCGUGCCUCUUGACCACACCGCCGUGAAGGGCGCCCUCGUCCUGGCCGCCGGGGAUGCCAGGAUCAAAGGCCGAUCGGUCGGCGAUCCACCCGACCCGUCUUGAAACAAGGACCAAGGAGUCUAACGUGCGGGCGAGUCGUACGAAACUCGAAGGCGCAGUGAAAGCGAGGGAGGUCCUCUGGACUUCCCAGGCGAGAUCCCUCGGCCUGGGGGCGCACCGCCGGCCCGUCUCGAGGUCGNCGGACCUGAGGCGGAGCUAGAGCGCGCGCGCUNNGACCCGAAAGAUGGUGAACUAUGCAUGGGCAGGACGAAGCCAGAAGAAGCUCUGGUGAAAGUCCGCAACGAUUCUGACAUGCAAAUCGAUCGUCGAAUCUGGGUAUAGGGGCGAAAGACUAAUCGAAUCAUCUAGUAGCUGGUUCACUC